rnacentral:rRNA from 1 species
GACAGAGGGUGCAAACGUUGUUCGGAAUUACUGGGCGUAAAGCGCGUGUAGGCGGCUCUGUAAGUCGGGUGUGAAAUCCCACGGCUCAACCGUGGAAGUGCACUCGAAACUACAGGGCUAGAGUCCUGGAGAGGAAGGUGGAAUGCUUGGUGUAGAGGUGAAAUUCGUAGAUAUCAAGCGGAAACACCGGUGGCGAAGGCGGCCUUCUGGACAGUGACGUGACGGCUGAGA